rnacentral:rRNA from 1 species
UACGAAGGGGACUAGCGUUGUUCGGAUUUACUGGGCGUAAAGCGCGCGUAGGCGGAUCGCUAAGUCAGGGGUGAAAUCCCAAGGCUCAACCUUGGAACUGCCUUUGAUACUGACGAUCUGGAGAUCGGGAGAGGUGAGUGGAAUUCCGAGUGUAGAGGUGAAAUUCGUAGAUAUUCGGAGGAACACCAGAAGCGAAGGCGGCUCACUGGCCCGAUACUGACGCUGAGGCGCGAAAGUGUGGGGAGCAAACAGG